rnacentral:rRNA from 1 species
GGCAAGAGCUCAAAUUUGAAAGCUGGCUCCUUCGGGGUCCGCAUUGUAAUUUGCAGAGGAUGCUUCGGGUGCGGCCCCUGUCUAAGUGCCCUGGAACGGGCCGUCAGAGAGGGUGAGAAUCCCGUCUGGGAUGGGGUGUCCGCGCCCGUGUGAAGCUCCUUCGACGAGUCGAGUUGUUUGGGAAUGCAGCUCUAAAUGGGUGGUAAAUUUCAUCUAAAGCUAAAUACUGGCCGGAGACCGAUAGCGCACAAGUAGAGUGAUCGAAAGAUGAAAAGCACUUUGAAAAGAGAGUUAAAAAGCACGUGAAAUUGUUGAAAGGGAAGCGCUUGCGACCAGACUCGCCUCCAGGGUUCAGCCGGCAUUCGUGCCGGUGUACUUCCCUGGGGGCGGGCCAGCGUCGGUUUGGGCGGCCGGUCAAAGGCUCCCGGAAUGUAGUGCCCUCCGGGGCACCUUAUAGCCGGGAGUGCAAUGCGGCCAGCCUGGACCGAGGAACGCGCUUCGGCACGGACGCUGGCAUAAUGGU